rnacentral:rRNA from 1 species
UCGAACGCGAAAGUGGAGCAAUCCAUGAGUAGAGUGGCAAACGGGUGAGUAACGCGUGGGCGACCUACCUCUGAGUGGGGGAUAACCUUCCGAAAGGAGGGCUAAUACCGCAUGACAUCCCGUGUUUGGAUACACGGACAUCAAAGCCGGGGAUCGCAAGACCUGGCGCUUGGAGAGGGGCCCGCGUCCGAUUAGCUAGUUGGUGGGGUAAUGGCCCACCAAGGCUCCGAUCGGUAUCCGGCCUGAGAGGGCGGACGGACACACUGGAACUGAGACACGGUCCAGACUCCUACGGGAGGCAGCAGUGGGGAAUUGUUCGCAAUGGGCGCAAGCCUGACGACGCAACGCCGCGUGGAGGAUGAAGACUUUCGGGUCGUAAACUCCUUUCGACCGAGAUGAAUUUCCGCCGACCUAACACGUCGGCGGGGUGACAGUAUCGAGGGAAGAAGCCCCGGCUAACUCCGUGCCAGCAGCCGCGGUAAUACGGGGGGGGCAAGCGUUG